CCUUCCUCCCUCACCGCUCCAUGUGCGUCCCUCCCGAAGCUGCGCGCUCGGUCGAAGAGGACGACCUUCCCCGAUAGAGGCGUACCGUUCAUCGGUCAAGGGUAUACGGUAGCUGCGCUCCCCUGCUAGAACCUCCAAACAAGCUCAAGGUCCAUUUGUAGGAGAACGUAGGGUAGUCAAGCUUCCAAGACUGCAGACACAUCCAAGUGAGGCACUGCAUGGGGCAGUCUGCCAUUGUUU
rnacentral:snRNA from 1 species